AACAUCAGAGCAGAGGUGAAAAAAGCAGACUACUGCAACCUGAUUGUCUGAACGAGAUACGCAACAUUCAGGACUAGCAUUAGCUAAUCUAGCAUGUUUGUGGGAAAUGAAAUGCUGUUUCAUAAAGAAAGUAUGCAUAUUUUCCCAUCUUCUCGCCAUUAAAUCGAGGAUACGAGUGUAAAGCCGUCUGCAUGCAUUCCCUUUGGACGAGAGCUACCCUGUGAUUAAAGCCGAGGCGUUGAUUCCACCCUGACUCUUCCGUUGUCUCUCCCGAGUGACUGUAAACCUCAACACCAUUAUCUCUGUCGUAAUCCAAAUCUCAUCUCCCGUUCUCUCGGCUGCCACUGUUGUUUAUCUCCUCACAAAGACAGAGAGACUCUGCUACUCAGGCAGAGGGACUACCAGGGACGGAUGGAUAACUAGAGCACGAGUGUAUUCAUUAGCACACACCCUAGAAAACAAGCGUUUCUGUAAAAAUGUUUGUUUUGUUUAAGUUUGUUUCCAUUUGAUACACCUCAGAGCUCUCUUUCAUUCUUUGUGUGUUAUAGCUCUUGCAGGUUGCUAAGUAUUAAAAUGGGCGGGGCCAGCGCUACUGAAACAUGAA